GCACAAGCGGUGGAGCAUGUGGUUUAAUUCGACGCAACGCGCAGAACCUUACCAGCCCUUGACAUCCCGGUCGCGGACUCCAGAGACGGAGUUCUUCAGUUCGGCUGGACCGGAGACAGGUGCUGCAUGGCUGUCGUCAGCUCGUGUCGUGAGAUGUUGGGUUAAGUCCCGCAACGAGCGCAACCCCCGUCCUUAGUUGCUACCAUUUAGUUGAGCACUCUAAGGAGACUGCCGGUGAUAAGCCGCGGGGAAGGUGGGGAUGACGUCAAGUCCUCAUGGCCCUUACGGGCUGGGCUACACACGUGCUACAAUGGCGGUGACAAUGGGACGCUAAGGGGCAACCCUUCGCAAAUCUCAAAAAGCCGUCUCAGUUCGGAUUGGGCUCUGCAACUCGAGCCCAUGAAGUUGGAAUCGCUAGUAAUCGUGGAUCAGCAUGCCACGGUGAAUACGUUCCCGGGC
rnacentral:rRNA from 1 species